rnacentral:rRNA from 1 species
UACGUAGGUGGCAAACGUUACUCGGAUUUACUGGGCGUAAAGGGUGAGUAGGCGGAACGAUAAGUCUAAGGUGUAAUCCCGGGGCUCAACCCCGGUCUCGCCUCGGAUACUGUCGUUCUAGAGUGAGAUAGAGGAAAAUGGAAUUCCCGGUGUAAGGGUGGAAUCUGUAGAUAUCGGGAAGAACACCAAUGGCGUAGGCAAUUUUCUGGGUCUCUACUGACGCUGAAUCACGAAAGUUAGGGGAGCAAAC